rnacentral:rRNA from 1 species
GAGCGGAACGAUGAUAGCUUGCUAUCAGGCGUCGAGCGGCGGACGGGUGAGUAAUACUUAGGAAUCUACCUAGUAGUGGGGGAUAGCUCGGGGAAACUCGAAUUAAUACCGCAUACGACCUACGGGAGAAAGGGGGCAGUUUACUGCUCUCGCUAUUAGAUGAGCCUAAGUCGGAUUAGCUAGAUGGUGGGGUAAAGGCCUACCAUGGCGACGAUCUGUAGCUGGUCUGAGAGGAUGAUCAGCCACACCGGGACUGAGACACGGCCCGGACUCCUACGGGAGGCAGCAGUGGGGAAUAUUGGACAAUGGGGGCAACCCUGAUCCAGCCAUGCCGCGUGUGUGAAGAAGGCCUUUUGGUUGUAAAGCACUUUAAGCAGUGAAGAAGACUCCAUGGUUAAUACCCAUGGACGAUGACAUUAGCUGCAGAAUAAGCACCGGCUAACUCUGUGCCAGCAGCCGCGGUAAUACAGAGGGUGCAAGCGUUAAUCGGAAUUACUGGGCGUAAAGCGAGCGUAGGUGGCUUGAUAAGUCAGAUGUGAAAUCCCCGGGCUUAACCUGGGAACUGCAUCUGAUACUGUUAGGCUAGAAUAGGUGAGAGGAAGGUAGAAUUCCAGGUGUAGCGGUGAAAUGCGUAGAGAUCUGGAGGAAUACCGAUGGCGAAGGCAGCCUUCUGGCAUCAUAUUGACACUGAGGUUCGAAAGCGUGGGUAGCAAACAGGAUUAGAUACCCUGGUAGUCCACGCCGUAAACGAUGUCUACUAGUCGUUGGGUCCCUUGAGGACUUAGUGACGCAGCUAACGCAAUAAGUAGACCGCCUGGGGAGUACGGCCGCAAGGUUAAAACUCAAAUGAAUUGACGGGGGCCCGCACAAGCGGUGGAGCAUGUGGUUUAAUUCGAUGCAACGCGAAGAACCUUACCUGGUCUUGACAUAUCUAGAAUCCUGCAGAGAUGCGGGAGUG